rnacentral:rRNA from 1 species
UACGUAGGUGGCAAGCGUUGUCCGGAUUUAUUGGGCGUAAAGAGCUCGUAGGCGGUGUGUCGCGUCGGCCGUGAAAACCUGCAGCUUAACUGUGGGCGUGCGGUCGAUACGGGCAUCACUGGAGUUCGGCAGGGGAGACUGGAAUUCCUGGUGUAGCGGUGAAAUGCGCAGAUAUCGGGAAGAACACCCGUGGCGAAGGCGGUUCUCUGGGACGGUACUGACGCUGAGACGCGAAAGCGUGGGGAGCGAACAGG